GUGAGUUUGCUCGAUCUUUGGAUUGUUGUGUUACAGUCGUGGUUGGGUCAAACAAUAUGCGGAAAGCAACAAUAGCGAAGGAAAGAGAUUAAAAUUAUAUUGGAUUUAGUUUUACUACCAAAUAUGGUAGUCCUCCCGUCCAUGACCUUGUGACGUCAGGUACAUACGGGACUUCGGGGGAGUUUUUGGCGGGAAAAUUUGUAAGUUUUGGAGAAGACAAGAUGGCGCUGGUUACUUCGUUUCAUCAAAGGGCAUUUUUGUUCACAAAUACCCGCUUAUUUUACGUUAUAACGACUGGUUAGUUUUUGAAAUUAGAACUCAAUGGACAGGGAAAACAAUUCUGUAGUAAAGAGAAAAAGACGUGCAGCUAUUGUGAUGUUAUUUGUUGUGAAAGACGGCCCGAAAUUUCGCUACAUCGCUGAGCGCCCUGAGCCUGUACUGGUUUAUAAAAAAAUUACAAGCAACAGCAAUUGCAACUAUAUGACGAAAAAACCAAAUACCAAUGUGUACAAGCCAAUCAAGUCCAACGUAUUGUCAUCUUUGGAUGUGUGAAAUAUUAAAGUUCAGUUGGAUUUGCAGAUGAAGCACUCAAGCACAUGGAAGGUCAGUUUUAAUUAGUGUUUUAAUAUUAAGUAUAUUAUUGUAUACUAUUAUAUACAAGAAUGAUUUGAAAAUUGUCCUUCAAUUGUUGCUUUUUAUUGGUCGAAAGUUUAAUAUUGUUUUGACGAGAGAAAUGUUUCUCAACAAUUUUCAGAAUGUUUAGAAAAUUUUUGGGCUUGGUUUGAAAUUCAAACCAAUUGCCUAUUGGGGGCGAAACGACUUGGGGGCGAAAGAAACUACUUUGGUGUAAAAAAUACAUGUGGUUCUGGUUCCUGACCGACCCUAUUUUUUUCUGUCAACCCUAUUAUUUUUUCAACGUGAUUUGACCAUGCAAGCUUAUUUUCUCCGGGUGGUUGCGGGCUGCUGCCAAAAUGGCGUCUGUUGUCACACUUAUUAUUGAAAAAAACAUGAAAAAAAAUUUUCCGACCUACCGACCUAAAUUUUUCGCGAUAUGAAACCGGAACCACAGGUAUUUUAUUUUAUGCCUUUGGGUGGGAAAUGAUCUGAUACCAAUCUUCUAAACAUUCUAACUCUGAAUUUUUUGAAAAUUUCCUGUGGUCCACCUCCUCAGUGCUCAGCCUAGAUCUUGAUUUUUGCCUGCGGUCUCUCUUUGCAUUUGAUCCAAAUUUUUCAAAACUGUUUUUUAUCAAUUGACCAUUUGCGUAAUAGACAAAAUUUUGAUCUCAACAACUAGACAUAUAUUUCAUCACAGCUUGAAAGAGCAUCACAAAAUUAGUAAUAUCAGGGCUCGAAAAUUGAAAUUUUUGUCAGUAUCCAAGUGGAUACCAGCAUCAUAUCUAGUAUCCAUCCUUGAAAUAUAGUAUCCCAGAUUUGGAUACUAGAUAUUCUAUUUCCAGUAUCUAAGCAAGGCAAAAUUUUACCUUGCAACUUAACCAGGCCUUUUGUGAAAUGUUUUUUUUUAAAUAUUCUGCCAAAAUCCAGUAUCCAGUUGGGAUACCGAGCUUAUGAUACCCAGUAUCCAAAAUUUAAAAUCUGAUAUCCCGUGGAUAUCGGGAUACCGCAAGUUUCGAGCCCUGGUAAUAUUCCAAAGUUUCGUUGCGAAAUUUUGUAAAAUGUGGAUAAUAUAGCCUUGCGAAGUUUGCAAUUUUCAGUCAUUUUAGAUUACAAACGGGAAAUUGACAGCCUCAAAGCGUAUCGGGCUAUUGUAUUGUCUAGAUCAAAAUUUAGUCUUACGCAAAUGGUCAAUUGAAUGUGAUUAUUUUGAUGAGAGAACAUUUCUUGUGCUGCCCCAGGGUGCAUUUUAAGUGCAAUACGCUGAAGAUCUUUGGCAUUAGUUUGGCAAAUUACAAUACUAUCUAUAGUUAAAUAAAUAUUUAAAACAAUUAUUCCCCUAAGGGAAAGUGAUUACCUGUGAAUAUUAUACCUCAAAUUCAAAUUGCCCAAUGAAAAAAAUUUGUACCACGUGACAAUGUGAUUUUUUACAGUAUUUCACUCAAAUUCAUGAUUUUGCAAUGCAGCGUGAGAUAUAGAGAAUAAUAUAUUCAUGGUGCGCAGAAAUACCAGAUUUAUUUCGAGUGUUGAAGAUGAUAUACAUGAUAACAUAUAUACAUAUUGUUUAUAGACCCUCCGCUCAGGGAUUUGGAGAAAUAUUACCCUCUGUGACAGUGAUGAUAUUUCCUCGGGAAAUGGGUAAUAUUCCGCCGAAUCCCUCUCGCUCCGGGUCUAUAAAUGAUAAAUAUUCAUCGAGACAAAGUCGAGGCACUGAGCCUGGGGCGAAUAAUUGUUUUAGUAUAAAUUUUUACUGAAUAAAACAAUAUAUCCAAGUAUCAGCUCAAUUAAAAUUCAGAAAUAAAACUUUUUUCGGCCUAUAAUUGUGACUAAAGCCGGUUUUCCAUUUCAAGCAUACCAACACAUAUGAAAAAGUUCUUGAAUUUCUUGAAUGUUGAUUGGUUAGUACUUCCAAAGUAUGCCAAAAAAGUUGACUUGCAACAAACUUUUUAUUUUGAUAUGCAAAUCCACCCGGAAGUAAAUGGUUUAUAAACCUCUUUUCAAUCUGCACAUGCUCACCAGUAUGUUUCAGUAUGAUACGGGCGAUGUGGAAAACCGGCUUAAUUAUAGUGUUGCAGUAUUUCUUGUGUGCAUAUACUUUCAAAAUGGCUUUUUUGUUACUUUAUUACAAAGUUGUUUUCCUUGAUUUCUGCUUAGAAUACAAGCACAAUAACAGAAUAACGUUUUCAACAGACUUUAUAGAAUUAAAACAUAGUUUCUGUUUAGAAAUGGCUGAGAAAUUUGGUAAAAUAAAAUGUAAAACUAUAUCGUUUGAAAUAAAGUUUUAAUAACACUUUUAAACACGUUUCGAAAACACAAUGCAGUGGUCAGAACAACAUACAACACAAUGAAAACAUGACAUAUUAAAAGAAAUAGUAUCGUACAAAUUGAGAAAUCUGUAGGAUAAAAAAAUGGAUUUAAAAGCAUAUCAUGGCAAGGUGUUUCCCAUUAGUCGGGAGAGUUUUUGUUAUUUGUUUUUGCUAAGUAAAUGUUUCAGAGUUUUAAAUAAGUUUUAUAUUGUCUGUGAAUAUGUUUGACACAGUAAAAUAAUAAGGAAUACUACCUUUCAAGAUGAAUACAACAUUUUCAAGAUAAAUACAACAUUUUGUACUUCUUUUGUUUUCUGGGGACGAUUUUUUCAAUAUUUUGAAAACAAAUUUGCCGAAAUAUUAUUUUUGAAAAGCAUUUACUAGUCUGUUAGCCAAUCAGAAUGUGCGAAAGCUCAUUUCAUAUGCAAAAUUCAUACUAAUGGCGUAUAUAGUUUACAUGGAAUGCACCCUGGGUGCUCCCCCCAAGCCGCCUAGGGUAAUUGCUGUGGCCCUUUGCAUUUUAUUAUACAAAUUUUUAAAACAUGUUUUUAUUGACUGGAAGUAAUUGUUUUGAUGAGAGAAAUGUUUCUUGACAAUUUUCAGAAAGUUUGUAAGAUUUUGGGGCACUUGAUGAAUUUUGGGAAAAUUUAAAACAUUUUUACUGGUCUAAGCUAAUUGUUUUGAUGAUGAGAGAAAUGUUUCUUGACAAUUUUCAGAACAUUUUGAAGAUUUUGAGGCACUUUCCUCCUAGGUUUCCUGUGGACCUUUGCUUUUUACAAAUGCCAAUGCGGCAUGGGAAUUAUAAAUUCUGAAUAAUAUUUUGUAUGCCGAUAAGAUUUAAAUUUCCUUAGGGAAUUAUUGAAAUAGAAAUUAUACAUUUGGGAAAAUAAUUUUGUUUGCUGCAUUCAAUCUAUUGACCAAUCAGGGAGAUUCUUUUGUAAAUACCCACAACCAAUCAGAAGUCUGUAUUUUUAUGCUAAAAGAGAAAUAGCAUUCCAGAGUAAAUUGUAUUCAAAUUUAUCUUUUUAAAUUUAGGGUGUGUUGUAGCUUUUAUUUCGCCGUCCUGGUGUAGUUUACUUGAAGUCCUUGCCUUUUUGUGAAAAGAAGUACAUUAAAGAUCAAGCAUAACAUCCGAAGCUAAAGACAUUAAGGUAUGUUCUGUUUCUAUCAAUUUGAUGUGAAAUGUUGAUAUUUUAGCAAGUUAGUCAAAUUUGACUAUAGCAAGUCAGUUGCGGCCAUGUUACAUGGUGCAAUUUUUCUUCCAACUUGCAAGGCAAUUCUACUCUUGAGAGAUGUAAAAUUACCAAAUACAAGUUUUCACUACACUCCGCUGAUGUUUUCUCAACAUAUCGAAAAUUCUUCACAGAUUUUACUAAUUAACAUCUCUCAAGAGUAGAAUUGCAUUGCAAGUUGCAAGAAAAAUUACACCGUGUAACAUGGCCUUUAGCAUUCGACAUUUUGUUCUGGGACGUUAUGUUACAUUUAUUUAAUUAAAUCAAACAUUGCAAUUUUUGGGACACCCGGGUUUAGGGUUGGGUGAUAUUUCGAUAUUUUGACUUAUCGCGAUAUUUUCAUUCGCGAUAUUUUCAUUCGCGAUUAUCAUGUUGAAGGUAGAAACUUGAGCGACGAUAUAUUGAAAUUAUCGUCAUGCUCGAUGACUAUCAUUAUAUUGCUUCGCAUGUGUAUAUAUCUUUUAUAAAAUCCUAAAAAAUUCUUUCAAUUCCUAGAAAAUAUAGUUUUUAAAAGAAUUAAAAUUAUUUCCUGAAUGUAAUACGAAUUUAAGGUGGCUCUCUAGGGUUUUUUAAUUUACUACACAAAAGUAUUCAGGAGACUCCUGUUUCUUUACUUUACAUGGCAUGAAAACGAAAUUUAUUGGACACAUUGACAAUGUUCUCCUGAACAUUGCAAAUUGCUACUUUUGUGUUAAAAAUAUGUUGCCAUGGCAACAGCAUGCUUAGAAUAAAGUUCAAAAUAUGUCUUUCAGGUCAUUUUAAAAUUUUUUAAUACUUUGAAAUUUUCUAAUACUUUAAUAAAAGAUAAUACUUGUAUAAUAAUUUUUUCCCCUCAAUUGAAAAAAAUUAAAUCGAUACAUUUCUUAGAAAAUUUAAAAAACGUCAAAAAUCAAUAUUUAAAAUUUUUCCUUUGAUUUAAUUUUAAGAAAAAAGGAUAUUGCAGUUGUUGUGCCGACAAAAAAUGUGCAAAGUUUAAAAAAAAUUUUACUGAAGGAAACCAGAGAAAAAUUUGUGUUUAAUUUUGGCAAUUUUUACGUGAACAAUUUACCCCAAUUGACGUGUACAUGCAUUCUGCAUAAAACAACAAGGCAUGACUUUUUUGAAAUCACAAAAUAUAAAUUAAUAUGUUUGAAUUGAUAUAAUGUUUAUAACUGUGUUGGUAGCCUGCGUAGCGGCUCUCAGAGAAAGUAGGCUAGUGUGUCGGUUACUGGUCAACUAAGUGUGGAUUAUACAUGUAAAAAUUGCAAAGAUAUUUAAGUAAUUACUGGUUAUGACUUCUUGGUAUUUGAAAAAAAUGUUUGUCAAAAUUCGUCCCGUGCGAGUUUAUAGUACUAUCGUUGGAUGUUUUUGCAAAAUGCCCGUUCAAAUUUCAGUUUUUAUAGUGGUAUGUUUGGAGUUUCGGCUCUGCUCAUUUCACCCGUAGAGGGCUCAUUAUUUAAGUCAUCUUUAUUGUCAUAAGUGCUGCUAGAUUGUGGAGAAAACACUGCAAAUUCUUGAGGAAACUUUAUAUCAUAUCCCAACGUUUGCGAUCGAACCUCGCGUACGGCGGUUCAAAAAACAUCCAGAAUACCGCUUGAAAAAAAGUUUACAUUAUCUUCUUUUGAAACAUCACAUCCAAGUGUUGUUUGGGCUUUUAGAAUUCUUUUAUGCUUUCAACUAAAGCAAAGUUGACACUUUUGUUUCAAAAAAGAGUUCCAUAUAAAACACAACGUUACAGUUUGUUUGUAUUUUAGUUUACAUAUAUACGAAGAAUGUAACCCUGGAAAUAAAACCCUAGGGAGCCACCUUAAUACGAUUCAAAAGCUAAUAUUUAUGUAUCAAUCCGCUGAACAAUGAAAUUGCAAUGAAAUACACAGCAUUUGUGCCAGGGGAGACACAGUAUAGACAAUUCUCAAUUCUGGUUUAUGAGCAGUAAAUAUUAGACUAGAGAAAGCCUUCAUAUUACUUUGAUUUGUUGUUUUACUUGUUUUUAACAAGAUUAUAUAUAAGCUUACUAUGCUUUGAUAUAAUUAAAAUUGAAAAAUGUGGCCAUUGUUUUUAUUGCAUUUAUCGCGAUAUUAUCGAAUAUCGUGAUAAUUUCCUUGACAAUAAGCAUGAGAAGAUUUUUUAAUAUCGUCCAACCCUACUCGGGAUACAGUCAUCCUUUGUAAAGUGAUGAUUGGGCUAAGAAAAUUUCAAUAUGUCAUUGCUGAUGAAAUGACUUAAUUCAUCACUAAGGGACUGCUCAUAAUUUAUUGUACAGGGGGAGACUGAGGAGAAACUCUACAAUUAUAAUAUUUCUCGUUGCCUCCCUCUUAAGACAAGUAAAAUUUUCAAAGCCCCCCCCCUGCUUUUUAUUAAUUUUGGUCCCGCCCCACUCUAUCUUUGUAUCUUUAUUUAGAGAAACAAAAACUCUAGCUCUUUAUUUAGAGAAACAAAAAUAGAUAAUGGGGACCAAUAGACAAUUCCCAUUAUAGACUUUUUUUAUCCUUAGCAAAAAAGUAUAUUCCCAGGAAGGGUAUACUAAAAUUAAUAAAAUUGCAAAGUUUGGUUGCGAAAUGUUGUAAAAUGUAGAAAAUAUAGUCUUGCAAAUUUUGUAUACUUUUACAUUGCAAUUUUUACAUGCAAUACAAAAGUAUACAAAAUUUGCAAGGCUAUAUUUUCUGUAGCUAUGGUGAUUUAUUUGCAUCAAGGCCAGAUUUUGAGGGGAGGUGUGGAGAGGUGCGCACCUCCCCUGAGAAUUUUUGCACCUCCCCUUGGGAAAGUUUCAACGAUGGAACAAAGUGAAAAUGUGAUGGUUGCUUAGGAUCUACACUUCAUGACGUAAGAAAGUUUUCUCUGUAAAAUUGAAACAGUGAUAGCCAUUCAUCUCUGUGUCAAGUACCCUUUUAAUGCAAUGUUUUGAAAGAAACUUUGUAGCAAUUGUAAUGAAGGGUGAUCGAGAUUGGAGUCAUACAGUCAUAAUUCAUUAAUACUGGUAUAUAUGUACACUACAUGCUUACCUGUUGUACAAUAAGCCCUAACUUUACAUGGGGGUUGUGAGCUAGACCGCUGCACCUCCCCUAAAAUUUUUUCCACCUCCCCUACUAUUUUCCCCAAAUUCAUGCCUUGAUUUGCAUCCCUUUGCCUAGUUCUAAAAUUAGUCUAUAAUGGGAAUUGUCUAUUUACAUGAACAUAAGAGACUUUUUAUUUGGCUUCCAUUUAUGAAUGUUAAAUGUCUAUAAACACUGUUAUUUGUUGUUAAGUUGUUUUGUUACAUUAAAAAAAAAUAAAGGCCCCCCAGUUUCUCCUCAAUCCCCCCUGUACAAUAAAUAAUGAGUGGUCCCUAAUAAUACUAAAGCUUAUGUUGCUGAUAAUAUACCAUCCAGCAUCCUAUUUUUGACAAAAUUGUUGCACAAACCAUAUGGCUGUCAAAAACGUCAAGAUUUAGAUUAUUGUUUUCUAAAACAUUGCACGGCUCGUGCCCAUGAAGUAUUGUUGUGGAUUUUAGAACUCUUUUUAUGCUUUUCACCCAUCGAGUGGCAGCACUCUCCACUUGACAAGUAAAAUCAUGUGGCGUUAGACAGAGUAAAAUACUAAAGUAGGGUGCGUCGGGGUGCAAUGCAACUUAAAGGGUUAACCAAAACAAAGUUCAUAGAUUUGUUUGAAAAAAUAUUUUCACACAGUGCCAUGCCUGUUUGUAUUUUGAAGUUCCUUGAGUUACACAUGAUACUACAUGUACAUAUAUAUAUAUAUGAAGAACAUAACCCCCGGGGGGAUAAAACCAUGGUGGGGAACCACCUCCAGACUGAUUUACACUCACUUGCGACAACGUAGGGAGGUUGUGUGCUUGAUUUGCACAGUGCAACUCAAGUUGUAAGCAUGUUGCAUGGGACCAUCCGAGGUACAAGACUUUCUCUUGAAGAGUAAAAUGAUCUGAUAUCAGACAUUUGAGUUCCUUUGCAGCUUAAUGAGUUAAUCCUAUUUAUCUUAGAGAACAGCAAUUCAACUACCUGGCUUGACAAUGAAACUACACCAACAAUGUGUACAAGGCAAUUGAAUGUAUCCUUGGAAAAAUUUCUCUGAGGUUAUGCUGUCAUGUUUACAUGUGUUAUUCAGUUGGAUUUGCAGAGGAAGUACUUGAAAGGUCAGUUUUUAAGUGGUCUCACUUUUAGAAUUU
rnacentral:lncRNA from 1 species